UCCCCGUAGUGCAAAGGGCGCUUGAGCGAGGUGAUCGGAGCAGUCGCAGCAAGGACCAUGUUGCUUCCGAACAUCCUGCUCACUGGUACACCAGGGGUUGGAAAAACCACACUAGGCAAAGAACUUGCAUCAAAAUCAGGACUGAAAUACAUUAAUGUGGGUGAUUUAGCUCGAGAAGUCUGAUCAUCGGAUAGCAUGGGGUCUGGCAAGAUGGCUUCUCCCAAGAGCAUGCUGAAAGAUGCACAGAUGACAAAUCCUGAAAGAUAUGGGGAUUACAGAAUAUGAGCCAAGAGUUAUAAAUCAGAUGUUGGAGUUUGCCUUCCGAUAUGUGACCACAAUUCUAGAUGAUGCAAAAAUUUAUUCAAGCCAUGCUAAGAAAGCUACCGUUGAUGCAGAUGGUGUGCGAUUGGCAAUCCAGUGCCGUGCUGACCAGUCUUUUACCUUUACUCCCCCAAGAGAUUUUUUAUUAGAUAUCGCAAGGCAAAGAAAUCAAACGCCUUUGCCAUUAAUCAAGCCAUAUUCAGGUCCUAGGUUGCCACCUGAUAGGUAUUGCUUAACAGCUCCAAACUAUAGGCUGAAAUCUUUAGAGAAAAAGGCAUCAACUUCUGCAGGAAGAAUAACAGUCCUGUGGUUAAGUGUUGGUUCGGUUACUAGCAGACCAAGUACUCCCACACUAGGCACACCAACCCCACAGACCAUGUCUGUUUUAACUAAAGUGGGGACUCCCAUGUCCCUCACAGGACAAAGGUUUACAGUGCAGAUGCCUACAUUGCAGUCUCCAGCCAUAAAAGCUUCAAUUCCUGCAACUUCAGCAGUUCAGAAUGUUCUCAUUAAUCCAUCAUUAAUUGGGUCCAAAAACAUUCUUAUUAUCACUAAUAUGGUGUCAUCACAAAAUACUGCCAAUGAAUCAUCAAAUGCAUUGAAAAGAAAACAUGAAGAUGAUGAUGAUGAUGAUGAUGACGACGACUAUGAUAAUUUGUAAUCUAGUCUUGCUGCAUGUAACAUGUGUAUUUGGUCUUGAAUUUAUUGUACUGAUAUUAAACAAGCAUGCUGGAUGUUUUCAAGUUGUGUUUUAGAAAACUUUAAUAAUAUUUAAUGAGUAAAUACAGUUACCAUACUUUUCAAUUUAAAUGAAGGUUCAGCCUUAAAAGUGUAAGAAAAAUAAAGUUGUCAUUCAU